rnacentral:rRNA from 1 species
CCUACGGGCGGCAGCAGUCGAGAAUCAUUCACAAUGGGGGAAACCCUGAUGGUGCGACGCCGCGUGGGGGAAUGAAGGUCUUCGGAUUGUAAACCCCUGUCAUGUGGGAGCAAAUUAAAAAGAUAGUACCACAAGAGGAAGAGACGGCUAACUCUGUGCCAGCAGCCGCGGUAAUACAGAGGUCUCAAGCGUUGUUCGGAAUCACUGGGCGUAAAGCGUGCGUAGGCUGUUUCGUAAGUCGUGUGUGAAAGGUGCGGGCUCAACCCGCGGGCGGCACAUGAUACUGCGAGACUAGAGUAAUGGAGGGGGAACCGGAAUUCUCGGUGUAGCAGUGAAAUGCGUAGAUAUCGAGAGGAACACUCGUGGCGAAGGCGGGUUCCUGGACAUUAACUGACGCUGAGGCACGAAGGCCAGGGGAGCGAAAGGGAUUAGAUACCCGGGUAGUC